GAUGAACGCUGGCGGCGUGCCUAAUACAUGCAAGUCGAGCGAACAGACGAGGAGCUUGCUCCUCUGACGUUAGCGGCGGACGGGUGAGUAACACGUGGAUAACCUACCUAUAAGACUGGGAUAACUUCGGGAAACCGGAGCUAAUACCGGAUAAUAUAUUGAACCGCAUGGUUCAAUAGUGAAAGACGGUUUUGCUGUCACUUAUAGAUGGAUCCGCGCCGCAUUAGCUAGUUGGUAAGGUAACGGCUUACCAAGGCAACGAUGCGUAGCCGACCUGAGAGGGGGAUCGGCCACACUGGAACUGAACCACGGUCCAGACUCCUACGGGAGGCAGCAGUAGGGAAUCUUCCGCAAUGGGCGAAAGCCUGACGGAGCAACGCCGCGUGAGUGGUGAAGGUCUUCGGAUCGUAAAACUCUGUUAUUAGGGAAGAACAAAUGUGUAAGUAACUAUGCACGUCUUGACGGUACCUAAUCAGAAAGCCACGGCUAACUACGUG
rnacentral:rRNA from 1 species